rnacentral:rRNA from 1 species
GACGAGGGGUCCAAGCGUUGUUCGGAAUCAUUGGGCGUAAAGCGCACGUAGGCGGCUUUGUAAGUUAGAGGUGAAAGCCCAGGGCUUAACCCUGGAAUUGCCUUUAAGACUGCAUCGCUAGAAUCGUGGAGAGGUGAGUGGAAUUCCGAGUGUAGAGGUGAAAUUCGUAGAUAUUCGGAAGAACACCAGUGGCGAAGGCGACUCACUGGACACGUAUUGACGCUGAGGUGCGAAAGCGUGGGGAGCAAACAGGG